GACGAACCGUGCAAACGUUGUUCGGAAUCACUGGGCUUAAAGGGCGCGUAGGCGGCUUGUCAAGUCAGGGGUGAAAUCUUUCGGCUUAACCGGAAAAGUGCCUUUGAUACUGACAGGCUCGAGGGAGGUAGGGGUAUGUGGAACUUCUGGUGGAGCGGUGAAAUGCGUUGAUAUCAGAAGGAACGCCGGUGGCGAAAGCGACGUACUGGACCUCUUCUGACGCUGAGGCGCGAAAGCUAGGGGGAGCAAACGGG
rnacentral:rRNA from 1 species